GCCGUCUUCGUUGCUCUUGGGUGGCCGCGGCGCCCGCUCCCUCUGAAUUCGCCGGGCAGGGAUACAGCCGCCCGGGGCCUCUUGCUCGUGCUUGGUUUUCCGGACCUUGCUUCCUAAAGGGUCUUUAGGGGUUCCCGGACUCCUCCGCCUGGGAGCCUCUAUCCGCCUGGGAGCCUCUAUGCGCCCCGCAAAGCCCCCGGCAGAGCCGAGGGGAGGCUUCAUUGGCGACCUGGUGGGGCCUCGCGGCCCUGCUCCCUGACGUCAGCGCCGCCGCGGUGAUUUAACAGCUUUUGUUUUGGGCAGAAGAACCUAUGGGCACAAAAAGCAGGAACGAGUAGCGGUGGCUGAAGAACGAGCAGGAGCUUGAAUUUCAGUUUUCUUAUGAGGAAUUUUCCAGAAAAGAUAUCUUCACUGUGAAAUAACUAAAUAAAUGCCCACUCAGUACAGUCACUGUCUCCCUUUUGGAACUUGAUGGCACCUUAAGCCCAGGUUUGCCUCCACUCUAGAAACUCAUCAGAGUGAUGCCCUUCUCAAAUGGGGGAGGUCCCAAAGCGGAUAUCCUGGCAGUGUGAAAGGCCGGCUAAAGGUUUGUGCCAAGAGGAUCUGUGGAAUGCAUCUCCUACAGCUGGUGCUGCUGAGUAACCACUCUGAUCUGGCAUCUUCUUUGAUCAAGUUACAGAGCAGAGUUUCCAGGGCUGGGGAUUGAAGUCCUGCCUCCUCCCUUUGUCUCUGGUUGUCCUCGGUAAUGUUUUUCCCUCAAGACAAAAAUACCUGCUACAUGCUUCCUUCUGUAUGAAUACAUGAGACCUACCUUCAUUCAUGUUUCCUCUAUGAAGCUUUCCCUGCACUCCAAACACAGAGCUGAGACUUCCACCUAAUGUAGAAAGCUAGCACGAGCCGGCGCUGACAGAUGGAAGACUUGAGAUGUUACAAGAUUAUAUAUGGAAACACAAAAGGAGAUACCGGAGCCAUGACAGACUGUGAUGGGGCUGGUGGACAGUUCAGCAAGACAUUGAUAUUGUCCAUUGGCGCUCAGUUCAUCUGUAAUGACACAUUCAAGGAUGACGAUUAAUGUCCAAUAUGUAUAAAGUGGAUCCCUUUGUAAAAACAAUACAAUUCUUAUUAUUGUCUUUCUUUUUAAGCCUCCAUGGUAUACUACACCACUCGCAAUCUUUGUUUUGCUUGUACAAACAAAAAACCACAACUGCUCAGCUGUAGCAGUUUUCAAACACAUUACACUUCAUAAUGAUCUGACAGUGUUAAAGACAUACAGAUAUCUAGGCUGCACUCUAGCUCACUCAAUCAGAAAUAUACAGUUGGGGGUGGCUGAUUCCUACACUUAAAAAAAUAACAGCUCCCAAGGCAAUUCUAAUAUAGUUAGUUGAACACUAUUUGGAAAUUACUGAACCACACAGUAACUUUCUCAAAAGGGAAAGAACCAUUUGCUAGAGGACUGGAGAGAUUGUAUUUUCCACUAGGAAGUCAUUUUCAGGAGGCAUUUGAACCAGGAAUAACUUCGGUCAAGGCAAAACCUCCCUUGUGUCUUCUAUUAAAAAAAAAUGUUUAAUUGAUACAUAAUAAUUGUAUGUAUUUAUGCUGUUGUCCAUUCAUGUUCCUAGGUUUUAAGUCUGUGCAGAGUCUAGUUCUUUAUUUAUACUGUAAAUGGGUCAUGGUAUUUUAAAAACAAUACCUGACCCAGGAAACAAACGUUCUUCCCAUCAACUGAUGAGCCACUCUUACUAAAGAUGGCUGAAAUGAGGGCAAAGAGGAAGAAAUAGAAACGUGUGCGGUAUGAUUUAUUUGAAGUAGGCAUAAUAAAAAUGUUAUUUUUGAUACUCUAUUUAGUGGAAAAUAUCCAGAUACAAUGGGAUUAUUUAAUGAGUAAAGAGGCUUUCUAGUUCUAGUAUCUAGGUUCUUUUCUCCUGACCCUCCAGCUUCUGCUUGAGGCUCAUCCAUGUUGUAGAAUGUAUCAGAACUUCGUUUCUUUUUACAGCUGAAUAAUAUUUCAUUGGAAGGACAGUCCACAAUUUGUUUAUCCACUUAUUCACUGAUGGAUGUUUUGGGCUGUUUCUACCUUUUGGCUUUUGUGAAUGGUGCUGCUAUGAAUAUACAGAUACCUGUGUGUAUAGGCAUUUGUUUAAAUACCAGUUUUUUAUUUAUACUCCUAGGAGUGGAGUUGCUGGGUCAUAUGGCAAUUCAUUUGAGGAACUGAGAAGCUUAUUCCAUGGAGGCUGAACUGUUUUAUAUUCCCACCAGCAACGUGUAAGGUUCCAGUUUAUCUACAUCAUCACCAACACUUGCUAUUUUCCAUUUCAUUAAUGAUAGCCAUCCUAGUGGAUUUGAAGUGGUACCUUAUUAUCGUGGUUUUGAUUGCAUUCUCUAUUGACUAAUGAUAUCGAGCAUCUUUUCAUGUAUUUUUUGGUCAUUUGGUCAUUUUUCUUUUUUAAUUUUAAAAUUUUGAGACAGGCUCUCACUAUGUUGCCCAGGUGGUCUCAAACUCCUGGGUUCCAGCGAUGCUCAUGCCUCAGUCUCCCAAAGGGGUGGGAUUACAGGUGUGAGCCACUUUGCCCAGCCCAUUUGUAUAUCUCCUUUGGAGAAUAUCUAGGUUCUUUUGAAGGUAGCUGCAUAUAAACUAGCCAAAUUAACAGACUGUGGUUUUUAGAUGGCUUUCCAUAUCUACAAGAACUAUUUAGUUCUCAAAACUGGGAAGAAAUGUUUCAGAGGCAUCAUUAAUUCAUAAUCUAAAAAUUUAUCUUGGGUUUCCUUUUUUCCCCCAGAUUCUGUAUCCUCCAUAGUCCUAUUCAUGACAUGGGUCGUUCAUCUCUGUAUUCUAAACCCUCAAUGAACUGUAGACAGUAAUAAAUAUUUAUUGGAUGAAUGGUCUCUCAUCAGCCACCUUUUCUUUUUUUUUUUUUGAGACAGAGUCUCACUCUGUCACUCAGGCUGGAGUGCAGUGGCGCGAUCUCGGUUCACUGCAACCUCUGCCUCCCGGGUUCAAGUGAUUCUCCCACCUGAGCCUCCCGAGUAGCUGGGAUUACAGGUGCACGCCACCUUGUCUGGCUAAUUUUUGUAUUUUUAGUAGAGACAGGGUUUCACCGUGUUGGUCAGGCUGGUCUCAAACGCCUGACCUCAGGUGAUCUGCCCGACUUGGCCUCCCAAAGUGCUGGGAUUACAGGUGUGAGCCACCGCACCUGGCCUCCAGCCUCUUUUCUUUUUUUUUUUUGAGACAAGUCUAACUCUGUCACCCAGGCUGGAGAGCAGCGGCAUGAUCAUGGCUCACUGCUGCCUCAACCUCAGAGGCUCAAGUCAUUGUCCCCACCUCAGCCUCCCUAGUAGACUGGACUACAGGCAUGUGCCACCACACCCAGCUAAUUUUUCAUCAGCCACCUUUUCUAACCAUCUGUCUGCACUGACUUCCCAGGUUCUGCAUCAUUAUUGGUUUACUGAGACAAUGCACUUCACCCGUCCUUCAAUCCCAAAGUAGCACAGAAUAUCAGGAGUUCUUUGAGCCCCUAAGUGCCCUACUUUCCCAGGGUCAGGGGACCCUGACAAGCAAGGUCCCCACAUCUUUCUGUGGUUGGAUAGGGAUAUAAAAUUUCUCACACAUGUUAAAUCAAGAUACUUUGGCCAGGCACGGUGGCUCACACCUGUAAUCCCAGCACUUUGGGAGGCUGAGGUGUACAGAUCACUUGAGGUCAGGAGUUUGAGACAAGCCUGGUCAACAUGGUGAAACUCCCAUCUCUACUAAAAAAAAAAAAACUUUGGGAGGCCGAGGUGGGUGGAUCAUGAGGUCAGGAGUUUGAGACCAGCCUGGCCAACAUGGUGAAACCCCGUCUCUACUAAAAAUGCAAAAAUUAGGUGGGUGUGGUGGCACACAGCAGUAGUCCCAGCUACUCAGGAGGCUGAGGCAGGAGAAUUGCUUGAACCUGGGAGGCAGAGGUUACAGUGAGCUGAGAUCAUGCCACCGCACUCCAACCAGGGCAACAGAUCAAGACUCCAUCUUGGGGAAAAAAAAAAAAAUUAGCCAGGCUUGGUGGUGGAUGCCUGUAUUCCCAGCUUCUUGGGAGACUGAAGCAGGAGGAUCGCUUGAACCCAGGAGGCAGAGGUUGCAGUGAGUUGAGAUUGUGCCACUGUACUCCAGCCUGGGCAACAGAAACAAUACUCCGUCUCAAAAAAAAAAAAAAAAAAAAAAAAUCAAGACACCAAACACACACAACUAAUUAGCUCUAUAAAUUGAAUUAAAAGAAAAUCCAUACUGACUUGCUUUCCCAUCUGUCCAUAUUUGUCUAUCCAAAUGAUUAAGGGCUAGAGAAAAUACAGAUGAUGAUGGCUGAGAUGGGAUAAAACUAUAAAUUGACUUGGUUCCAUUUACCUCCCAGAAUCAGCAUACAGUGACAAAGUAGAGAGAAAAGGUCUGGGCACCACAAACUUGUACUUGUGCUAGAAAUGUAGGUGCCUUUUCAUUUGCCCAGCAGGGCUAGUUUAACAGCCAGGGUAUCUUCUGGGACUCUUCCCCAAAUCUUGCUCUACCGCUGACUAGCUAUGUGAUCUUGGGCAAGUUUCUCAACCUUUCUGUGCCUUUCUUCCUUUACUUAUAAAUAAGGAUAACAGAAUUUGCUUCAUAGAGUUAGUCUGAGGAUUCAGUAAGUAGAUACGUGUAAUCUUAGAACAGUGUCUGGCACACAGUAAAACUCUAUCUUUGCUAUUGUUGUUUUUGUUAUAACUGUAUAGAUGUUAGCUAUUAUUACUAUCCACAAGAAUGGGACAUAUCAAUUAUAUAUAUUACUGGCCUAGUAAUUAUAUAUACUUAGAAUCCCUGAUCAAUAAAAUAAAUUGUAAUAGAAAUUUUUAUUCCUCAAACACAUUUUUGUUCCUCAAACACAUUUUUAAAUAAACAUGUCUUGGGAAAGCCAAAGAAAAAAAAAUCAUACCUAUAUCCAAAUAUGUUAUAUUAAAACCUUGUUCCUUGGCAAUUUCACUAAGCAGCUGGAUGUAAUCUGUAUUUGGAAUACUAAGGAGGCUUCUUUUCAGUAAGUUGAUCUUUUCACCAGGAGAAUUCCUCAAGGAAUGCCAAGUACAUCCUAAAGAAUGUCCUACUACAUUUGUCUGAAAAACAGAGAUGAAGAUUUAGACUCUUGACUAGGACUGGGUUCCAACACCCGUACCAGUAUCAUUAAAAGUACUUAUUAAGCACUCACAUUUAAUAUGUUAUAAAGCAUGUUUAAAUGGAUAACAUUUGGUUAAUUUUCCAAUUUAAACAAGACAACAUUAAAAAGUACACAUUUAACAAUACUAUAUGUUUUUAAGAAGCACUUGCAAUAAUAUACUGAAAGCAUUUUGUAUUUUGUAUAGUACAAAUGUUUCUCAGUCAAGUUUUCUGAUGGUCACAUUAAGAGGUACAAGAUAUCUGGAAGCACCAUAAGUAAAUCCACAAAUAAUUAAAUCUGCCUAAUGGAGCAAUUUGCAGAUUAAAAUAUAGAACAAUUUUCAUAUCUUUGGUUUUUUUUGUAUUAAAUACCAAUCACUAUAACUGACAGCUAUCAAACAGGAAAAAAAACAGAAAAAAAAACUAAAAAAAACAUGAAAUGUGCGCGUUGGGUUUGAGGAACAAGUCAUUCAAAUAAAUGACAGGAUGUCAAAAAGUUCUUAUCAGACUUCUAUCCCAGAACCCAACUGAGUAUUUUUUUCCUUUUUCUUUCUGCUUUUCCUCUUUCCUUUAUCCUCCCCUAUAUCCUUCCCUUUUCAUCUCUGUCCUUAGAAUGCCUUAUAUUUCCAUAUUAGUUUAUGGUUCUCAAAUUGCUUUCAUAUGCCAUUAAUAAAAACAACUACUUUCUGAAGUAAGUAGGGUUACUACUCUUAAUAUUGUUUUAUUAAUGAGCACGACAGAGGGGAGGCAAUUUCCAAAAGAUUUUAGAGAUGGCAUGAUAUGGAAUUAAGUAAUUUAUUAGAUUUACCAAAUAAAAAUUUACAUUAUAGAAACUUUAAAAUACUGUUUUUAAAUAAAGAACACUAUUUACAUGGUUAAAAAUAUACAUGCACUAAGAACAAAUAUAUAAUGAAGAGUACAGUCUCUUUUCCUUACCACCCAUUCCCUGAAGACCUCUGUUCUAUUUCUUAGACAUACUGUUAAACAUUUUUCAGUAUCUUCCCAUAAAUGUUCUAUGCAUAUGCAAGCACACACAAUCUUUUAAAGCAAAUGAUAACUUACUCCUCUACAUCUUGUUCAUUUUUCUUUUAUCAGUGCACAUAUAUGCACUGUAUUUACCUUACGGAUCUCCAACUGUGAGCUUUAGGUUGUUUCUAGUUUCUUGCUUUUACUAGCAAUAAACACUCUUUUGCACUUGAAUGAGUUUCUCUGUAGAAUUAUUUCUAGAAGUGGAACUGCUAAGUCAAAGAACAUGUACACUUUUAAUUUUGAUAAAUACUUCCAAACUGAUUUCUGAACCAAUUUAUACUCCUACCAACUGUCUUGGAGGGGGCUUGUUUUCUCAUACCCUCACUAAUACCAGCUAUUAUCAAAUUUUGUAGUUUUUGCCAAUCUAAAAGGUGAAAAUAUUUUAUCUUGCAUGAAUAAAGUUGAAUAUUUUUUCUUUUUUUCCCUUAAUCGUUUGCAUUUCUUCUACUGGGUUGUCUUUUUAACUGAUGCAUAAGAGCUUUUUAAAUUUUCUCUUUUUUAAGAGUUAGGAUCUUGCUGUGUGGCUUAACUCUCAAACUCUUGGGCUCUAGCAGUCCUCCCACCUUAGCCUCCCGAGUAGCUGGGACUACAGGCAUGUGCUGCUGUGUGCAGCAGAUGUGUACAAAAGAGCUUUAAAGGUAGUACUGAAAACAGUUCCUUUAUAGUUCUAUGUUGAAAAUAAUUUCUUCCCACUUUUUUAUUGUCUUAAUUUACAGAUUUUUUGCUGUGCAGUAGGUUUUAUGUUGUCAAAUGUAUUAAUCUUUUAACCUAGGUUUUAAGUUAAAAUGCUUUCCCCAUGCUAAGAUUUUUAAAAAGAAAAACUCUUCCAUGUUUCCUAAUAUUUAUACUGUUUCAAAUUUUUAUGUUCAAAUCUUUGAUCCAUCUGAAAUUCACUUUGGUGUAAGGAAUAAGGAAGCAUUCUAAAUAGAUGUCAUACACAUCAACAAAUAUAUAUAUAUAGCCCCCACCCAAAUGUGGAUGUAAACUGUUUCUACAUCAUUAUUGAAUAAUCCAUCCUCUCACCCACUGAUCUGAAAUCUCACUGUUGCUAUAUACUAUGGUCCUAUGUGGAUUAGCAUCUACGCCUGGAUUCUCUAUUCGCUCCUCUGACUAUUCCUGGCCCAGUAACUUGUCUGACAAGUUCAGUUUUACAGUAUGUUUUGUUCUCUAGUAAAGCAGCACACCCUUGCUCUCCCAACUCUUCCUUUUCAGUUUUCUUGGCUAUUCUUGAGGGUUUUUUUCCAGAUAAACUUCAAUAAACGUGUAUCAAGGUCCAAAAUGAACGCUGGUAGGUUUUUUUUUUUUUCGAGUUGGGGUCUCACUCUGUCGCCUAGGCUGGAGUGCAGUGGCGUGGAUCUCUGCUCACUGCAAGCUCCGCCUCCCGGGUUCAUGCCAUUCUCCUGACUCAGCCUCCGGAGUAGCGGGGACUACAGGCGCACGCCACCAGGCCCGGCUAAUUUUUUUUUUUGUAUUUUUAGUAGAGACGGGGUUUCACCGCGUUAGCCAGAAUGGUUUCUAUCUCCUGACCUCAUGAUCCGCCCACCUCGGCCUCCCAAAGUGCUGGGAUUACAGGCGUGAGCCACUGUGCCUGGCCAAACGCUGGUAGGUUUUGAGUGAGACCACAUUACAUUUAAAUAUAUUUACAAUGUUUUCUGCUCUAUUCUUUAGUAGACUUUUCCUCACGUGGUCCUACGCAUUUCUUUCUAAGUUUAUUUUCAUAUAGCCUAUCCCUGUCUACAAUUUAAAUUGGGAUCUUCUAUAUUCUAGUUAUUAUUUGUAAAUAAGAAAACUACUGACUUUUUUCUAGUAUAUUUUCUCAGAAUAGGAUUUUCUAUUUUUCUAUAAAAUGACCAAUGUUAUGAAGCUUCGUAAGUUUUGUCAAAGUGAUACACACAUACAGCAAAAAAUCAAAUAGUACAGAAGUAUAAAAGCAACAACCUCUGCCUUGCCCCUUCUCCACCUUCAGGUCCCCUUCCCAGAUACAAUAAUUUUUAGCUUUUUAUUUUUAAUUAUUCUGGUUGUUACCUACAUAACUCUGGGCAAUAUGGAAAAGUUAUUGAUUUUGUAUAUUAAUUUCAUAAUCAGUUACCUUGAUGAAUUCUCUUGUUUCUAGUAGUUUUUCUUUAGGGUUUUAAAGGGAUACAAUCAUACCAUUUGCAGUUAGUAACCAUUUUAUCUCCUCUUAUUUCCAACUUCGUACUGUUUUCUCUUGUCUAAUUUGUUUUUAAUUGGUGGGUACUUCUAGAACAAGGUUAAAUAAAAGUGGUGUUGGUGGGCGUCCUUAUUUCUGAUAUUAAUGGGAAUGAGUAUAAUGUAUAAAUAUAUAACCAUGAUUUUGGUUUUUUUCCAAGUUUUUAUCAGUAAUGAUUGCUGAGUUUUAUCAAAAUUUUUUUGGCAUCCAUUGAGAGGAUUAUAUAUUACUCUUUGACACAUUAAUGUGGUUAAUUAAAGUAACCAACUUAUUAACCUUGAAAUAGUCUUAGUUAAAUAAACCCUACUUGUCAAUGCUAUAUCAUUAUUUUAAUAUUGUACUGAACAUUUUACAAAGGUGUUUCACCAUAAGGCAUAUUGAUCUGUAAUUUUUUUUUUUCUGUUGAACUUGCUAUUGUCAGGUUUUGGUGUAUUAUGUUGGUUUUGGAGAAUAAAUUUAAAAGUUUCCUUUAUGUUAUCUAUACAUUGCCUGAAAAGAGUUUAAAUAGCAUUGAAAAUGAUCUCUUCUUUGAAGAUUUAACCAAUUUCACCUGUAAAUCUGUCUGUGCUUUGUAAUUUUGGUGAUACUGUUGACUCAAAUUCCAAAAGCAGUAAAUGCAGUGUUUUAUAUUUUUCUAUUAAAAAUGUAAAAUCAAAUUAUAUUACUCAUUUGUAUAUAGUCUUUGAUUUUUUUCUAAAGAAUGAGCCCUUAUUUUAUCAUAAGCUCAGUGAAGAAGUUGCUACAGUUGUACUUUUUUAUUUCCCACCUAAUACACUACUCUCAGAUAAUGUACCACAUGACACACCUAUCUGUGAAUAUCAGAAUCUGAAGUUAUAUAUCAUGUGUAGGCCAAUCUCUUAAGCUCUGAAUUUAUUUGUUCAGCUACUCGAUAUAUUCACUUAGCUAUUCCAUAAGCUAUUCCAUAAGCACUUCAAAUUCAAUAUAUUUAGUUCAUUAUCUGCUCCCCUCUUGCUAUUGCCAAGUUUAAAAUAGUAAUUUCCUCCCUUUCCCUUGCUUCCCACAUCCAAUCAAUUACCAUGCCCCUUUACCUCAGUUUUCUAAAUAACUUUAAAAUCUACCCAUCUCUCUCCAUUUUCCCAGCCACUACCUUAGUUCAAGCUGUCAUGUCUCACGUGUCUUCUGUAACAGCACUCUCGCAGGUCUCUUUGAUCCUAAUUUCACUCACUUACCAUAAUGCAGCCAAGUGAUUUCCUUGUAAUGUAUAGACUAGAUCCUGUCCUUCCCAGAUUAAAAUUCUUUAAUGACUUUGUACUACCCUUGGGAUAAAGUUCACUUUCCUUAUAUAGGGGUCCCUUUAAGAUUUAAUCCCUCUUUACUUUGCUGGCCUCAUUGAGACUCCCUCCCUCCAACACUAUGUUCUACACACAACAAAUCACUUAGGGCUCCUAGACUGCAUACGAUGUUUCACUCCUGGCCUUUGCACACGCUUUUUCUUCUCUCUGGAAUUCUUUUCCCCCAUUCUACAGGUCUUGGCUUAGACAUUACUUCUUCCUGGAAUCUGUCUCCAAACCUGUUUUUGUUGGAUGCCUUCUUCUAUGUUCCCACAUCACACUCUGUAAGGACUAGCCUAUAGAAUUCCUUCCUUUCAGUAGUCUAUAAACUCCUUAGAGGCAGGGACUGCUUAUUCACUGCACCCCAGUACCCAACACAACACUUAGCACACAGUAUGAGCUCACUAAAUGUUUGCUAAGUGAAUGAAUGAACAAACAAAGGGAUGGAAAUGCGCUGUCACUUUGAAGGCAAAAAUGGCACUACUGGCCUAUCAUCUUUAGAUCCCGUCCUAUUAUUCUGAAUUUGACUGUGUCUCCCAAGCUCUCUUACCUAAUUGCCUCUGUGAUCCUGACUCACAAACAGGAAGCAGCUAAAAAUGGGGUAGGGUAUAACUGAAUAAUGAAGAGAUUUCUAAAAAUCACAACUCUGAAGUAGCUAUAGAAUAAGAAAUCAAGGAAAGUUUCCUACUGCAAGAAAUGCUUAAUGACAUUAACAUCAUAGCUGUCAACAUUACUCACUAAAGAAAUGUGGUUCUCUGGAGAAAUAUUACUAAAUUUGGCAAGAAAUUUCUCAGCAGCAUUCCUUUUGGCUUGCUUUUUUGAUGCCCCCUUUCCUGAACAAAGAAAAAGAAAUGGUAGAUUUAGAAAAGAAAUUAGUGUCCACAGAGGAUGAUCAAACGUAUGAAGUACUGUGUUUAAUCAGAGAACCUCACGGUUUUUAUUAUAUACUAGACUAUGUUCUUACUGACCUGAUAACUUUGUUUGUUAUGCUAUUUUGUUUGUAUAGCUAUUAAUUCUUUUUUUUUUUUUUUUUGAGACGGACCCUCACUUUGUCACCAGGCUGGAGUGCAGUGGCACCAUCUUGGCUCACUGCAACCUCCGCCUCCUGGGUUCAAGCAAUUCUCCUGCUUCAGCCUCCCAAGUAGAUGGGAUUACAGGUGCCCACCACCACACCUGGCUGAUUUUUUGUAUUUAGUACAGACAGGGUUUUGCCAUGUUGGCCAGGCUGGUCUCAAACUCCUUACCUCAUAUGAUCGGCCCACCUCAGCCUCCCAAAGGGCUGGGAUUAUCAGUGUGAGCCACUGUGCCAGGCCUGUAUAGUUACUAAUUCUUACACUUUUGAAGACAUUUGUUUUAAGUUUUUCUUUAAUAGUUAUGCUUUCUGUUUUUCUAUAAUAAUUGUAUUUUCCUAUGUCUAGCAUUACUGAACCAUAUUUGGUUUAAUUCUGACCAAUUAUUUAGAUUUAUUAAAAUACAUCUGAAUUAUAACUCCUCUCUCUCAAUGUCUAUUUCCUGCUUAUGAUCUUCUCUAAACUGACGAUUAUAUGAAAUUCCUUUUAACAGGAAUAAGAAAGGCACAGGGGAUGGUGGAGUUGAAAGAUACCAUAAAUAUCUACCUCCAUGCUUUUGUUUUAUAGAUUAAAAAACUGAGGUCCAGAGAAAUUAAGUAAUUUGCUUAACUUCGCGAAUCAAGGACUGCAUCAAGGACGGAAGCUGAGGUUCCUGCUUUUGGCCUGGUGCUUUCUGUACUGGCCACACUACCUCCCAAAGGCAAAUAGUUUCUUAUUACUUGAAACUAUUAUCUAGCUAAGCUAAAAUCCCAUUUUAAGCCACUUUUGAAAAUAACAAAAACAUGCCAGAGAAGUUAACAGGAAUUCUCGCUAGUACUUUUUAAAGUGACAGCGUUUCUUAUAGUUUAUAUCCUUUAUAACAUAGAAGUUGCUAUAAUUAAGAAAGAUAAUUUUCAUUUUUAUCUCACUGCAAUUAUUUGCCAUGUAGUCUCUUAUUAAUCAUAUAAUUUUCAAGUGUAAUCUUCCUCUAGUCCUAUUUUCUAGAUAGAAUAGCUGUUAAAAUCCAAGAGAUUUACUAUAGCUUUUUCUCCAAAUUGAGGUUUUUUAAGUCAGUAAUUUAUCAAUGAAGACUGUUUAAAGUACAGAGCCAACAGUUU
rnacentral:lncRNA from 1 species